UGUUUUCCUUGGCUAUGCACAUUUCAUCUGGCCUUGAAAUCUGUUUCUGGAAGGCCAACUGCUUCCCAGGAGGUUGUGAGCUGAGCCAAAGCAAACUGGCAGGACAGCAAAGGUCCCAGGACACUUUGUCUGUGGAGCCAAGACCAUUCCCCGGAGCUGGGUGCCAGCCUCCUGCCCCAGAGGCCUCAUUCUCACAUCUUUCAGGCAGGGAGGGGGCUCGGUGAGAUGCCACAGAGGAGAGAGAGGGGCAUGGGGCAGUGUAACAUGCAAGAACAGGACCAAGGGGCAGCUUUGGGCCCCUGCACAUUGUAUGCAAAUCCUGAACUUUUGGGUUGGCCAAAAUAUUCCUUCAGGUUUCUCCAUAAGAUACUAUGGAAAAACCCAAAUGAACUUUUUGGCCAACCCAAUACUUCAUGAAGGAAAUAAAGCCCUUGUAAAAAAUG